rnacentral:rRNA from 1 species
CCUACGGGGGGCUGCAGUGAGGAAUAUUGGUCAAUGGACGAGAGUCUGAACCAGCCAAGUAGCGUGAAGGAUGACUGCCCUAUGGGUUGUAAACUUCUUUUAUAUGGGAAUAAAACGUUCCACGUGUGGGAUUUUGUAUGUACCAUAUGAAUAAGGAUCGGCUAACUCCGUGCCAGCAGCCGCGGUAAUACGGAGGAUCCGAGCGUUAUCCGGAUUUAUUGGGUUUAAAGGGAGCGUAGGUGGAUUGUUAAGUCAGUUGUGAAAGUUUGCGGCUCAACCGUAAAAUUGCAGUUGAAACUGGCAGUCUUGAGUACAGUAGAGGUGGGCGGAAUUCGUGGUGUAGCGGUGAAAUGCUUAGAUAUCGCGAAGAACUCCGAUUGCGAAGGCAGUUCACUGGACUGCAACUGACACUGAGGCUCGAAAGUGUGGGUAUCAAACAGGAUUAGAUACCCCUGUAGUC